UACAAAAUCUAAUUCAGUAAUUGUUCUAAUGGUGCAGUAAGACUUGUUGAUGGUAGUGGACCUCAUGAAGGAAGACUUGAAGUGUGUAUCAAUGAAGCAUGUGGCACUGUCUGUUCUAAUGGCUGGAAUAACACUGAGACUAAUAUUGUCUGUCAUCAAUUAGGAUACCUACCAAAAUUAUAGUUAUUAUUACUCACUACUUAAACACUAUUAUAGAAGAAGUGUGUAGGGACUGAGAACUCACUAUUAGAGUGCCAUCAACAAGCCUGUUGCUGUGUUGAGUACUCACAGCUUUGAUGGUGGCAAUGUAUGUGAAACUCCUGGUAUAAAUGGUACUGUUAGACUUGGUGAUGGAGCAGUACUAAGAGGAAGAGUAGAAUUUGCUACAAUCAUUCAUGGGUUACUAUCUAUUCUCAUAGCUGCAUGGACAGCAAAAGAAGUUACUGUCAUAUGCUCUCAAUUAGGAUAUUCAAAUUAUGAUACAGCAGAAUUGAGAUACAUUAUACGGUAUACAUGUAUGUUGUAUAAAAUGAAACUCAAUUUUUUUUAUAAGUUCUAUUGCAUUUAUUAAUGAUGAGUGGUCUAUGCAUGGGCA